rnacentral:rRNA from 1 species
CCCUUAGAUGUUCUGGGCCGCACGCGCGCUACACUGACGAAUGCAACGAGCUUAUAACCUUGGCCGAAAGGUCUGGGUAAUCUCCAAAUUUCGUCGUGAUGGGGAUAGAUUAUUGCAAUUAUUAAUCUUCAACGAGGAAUGCCUAGUAAGCGCAAGUCAUCAGCUUGCGUUGAUUACGUCCCUGCCCUUUGUACACACCGCCCGUCGCUCCUACCGAUUGAAUGGUCCGGUGAAGUGCUCGGACCGCGGCCUCUUGACGGUUUUCCGUCGAUUGGCUGUGGGAAGUUCGUUAAACCUUNUNAUUUAGNGGAAGGAGAANUCGUANCA